rnacentral:misc_RNA from 1 species
ACGAGUUUGAAAAGGGUUGUAGCUGGCCUUCCGAGGCAUGUGCACGCCCCUGCUCAUCCACUCUACACCUGUGCACUUACUGUGGGCCACGAAACGCUGUGCUUAACGCGCGGUGGGUCUGGUUCACGUCUCAUUACAAACGCUUUAGUAUCAGAAUGUAACUUGCGAUAUAACGCAUCUUAAUA